GCGAAAAGUGGGUGCAGCAAUGCACCUCUGCCUACCCCGCAAGGGAGUACAUUAGUACAGUCAGGUGCAGAUAAACCUGACCCCCUGCAUUUCAAAUAGAAAUUCUAACUACGCAAAGCCAAUUUGUCGGUGUGACGUAUGUUGCGGUAGUGCUCGUGUCUA